CCAGAAAUAGUCCUGCAGUUUCCAAGAAAAUCGGCCACGAUUUAACCUCCGCUAUAGUUCAUGUAACGCGGAUGGACUUGUUCAGCAUCAGCACAACUCUUUGGCGAGGAAUUAUUAGGUGCAAUCAUGUGGGAUCCAUUUUCUAUUAUAGGAAGGACUCAUUUUCUGUAAGUGAGUGAGGGAGCACUAUUUUUUAGUGCAACGGGGUGCACCUAAUAAUUAGCCUCUUUGGCUAUUAUUUUAAGCUUCACUUAAAUGCACCGGCUUCAUUGUCUCCCAGAAAGAAUCCAGGAGGAAUAGAAAAAUCACAAUACAUUAAUUGCAAGGUACAUUUUGGAGAUUGUGAUUAAUUUACGAGACUACUGCAUUUUUAUUUUUCAAAAAUUCUGGUACCGUACCUUUGCAUUAAGGAUGGAAUGGUCUGCAACUUCUGCCACUAAGGCUUAUCUUGAUACCAUCAAUCUGGUUAGCAUCAUUUCUUUUUCCUUUUUCUCUUCACUUUUCUUGAUAUUUGAUGGGUUUACGACAUUUUCUUGAAUUCCUUGUGUAGUGUGGCGAUCACAAGAGGAGAUGUGGCUUGUGGAUG
rnacentral:misc_RNA from 1 species